AAUCACUGAACCUGGUUUCACAUCAUGACAAUAGCGCAUAAUACAAUUCCACAUCUUGAUAUCCAGAAGAUCGGGAGUUGCUGAGUGCUGCAAAAAAGCAGCAAGAAAUACCCUUGGCGAAUGUAGGGGCUUAAUAAGGAGCUACCAGAAAAACAAGUAGGAAAGCAACACAAUGGCUAUAGAUAAGCUACCUCCCAACGAACACUUGAGAGGCAAUUACAAGACAGUGACUGAACUUUUAGCAGUGGAUAUGCUACUUCCAGGCUCCAGUCCAAAUGUACACAGCUGUUUUGGCAAGGCUGGGACCCUAGAGAUCUAAUCGACACUGAACGGUUAAGAGGAUUCUCUGGAAAGAAGUGGGGAAGGAGUAAUGCAUGAGCUGUUUCUGAGGAACUGAGAUGGAACAGAGACAGAUCCUGGCUGUGGCAGCGUCUGAAGCAGUUGUCUUCCGAUAUUUCCUGUCUUUCAAGGAACGGUCAACUUUAAGG